rnacentral:rRNA from 1 species
AGUGAACGCUGGCGGCGUGCUUAACACAUGCAAGUCGAACGAGAACGGAAUAUAGCUUGCUAUAUUUGUCAGCUAAGUGGCGCACGGGUGAGUAAUGUAUAGAUAACCUGCCCUUAAGAAAGGAAUAACAGUUGGAAACGACUGCUAAUGCCCUAUAUGCCUUUAAUACAUAAGUAUGCAAGGGAAACGCUUUAGUGCUUAAGGAUGGGUCUGUAUGGUAUCAGCUUGUUGGUGAGGUAAUGGCUCACCAAGGCUAUGACGCCUACCUGGUUUGAGAGGAGGAGCAGUCACACUGGAACUGAGACACAGUCCAGACUCCUACUGGAGGCAACAGUGGGGAAUAUUGCACAAUGGACGAAAGUCUGAUGCAGCAACGCCGCGUGGAGGAUGACACAUUUCGGUGCGUAAACUCCUUUUAUAUAGGAAGAUAAUGACGGUACUAUAUGAAUAAGCACCGGCUAACUCCGUGCCAGCAGCCGCGGUAA